GAUUGUCAACACUGUGAUAGAGAUAUGGAGAUAUGGAUAGAUAUAGUUUAAUACAUUGCUUAACACAAUUACACCAGUCAAGCCUCAAGACUUGCUUUUCCCACAGAAAUCUCACUUUAACAGUGCUCUCACUACUGCAAGGGAUUCAGGGUAGGCACAUGCAAAUGAGCUCAACAAAGAACCACAUUUUUGCCUCAUAAUUCCACUUUGUACAUGGAUUCCUUGGAGUAUGUUUCUGCUGUAUACAACAGCUUUGAAACACAACUCAGGAAGAGGAGCAAAGCCAGUGAACUCCUCAUGGACAGCUGUUUCGUUGGUUACUGUGGAAAAGCAAGUCUUAUGACUUGACUGGUGUUUGUAUUUGUGUUUAGCAACGUAUUAACUAUCCACUUACUUCAGAUAGAAUGGG